rnacentral:tRNA from 1 species
GCCCCGUUGGCCCAACAGGCAGAGGCGGCCGCCCCAACAGCGGCCAUGGUCGCGGUUCGAAUCCGCGACGGGGCACCA